AGCACGAUCAGGGGAUCCCAAGUGUUUGCUCGUAAGAGUAAGCUGUUUCUAUGUCUAAAAAGCAUGGAGAGUAAGAACUGGGUAAGACGGGUGCCAGCCGCCGCGGUAAUACCUGCAGCUCAAGUGGUGAUCGCUAUUAUUGGGCCUAAAACGUUCGUACCCGGUUCAGUAAAUGCCUGGGUAAAUCGUGUAGCUUACCUAUACGAAUAUCGGGUAGACUGCUACACUUCAGACCGGGAGAGGCUACAGGUACUCCUGGGGUACAGGUCAAAUUCUGUAAUCCUACGGGGACCACCAGUGGCGAAGGCGUCUAGCUACAACGGGUCUGACGGUGAGGGACGAAGCCCUGGGGCGCAAACCGGAUUAGAUACCCCCGUACUCC
rnacentral:rRNA from 1 species